rnacentral:rRNA from 1 species
GAGUUUGAUCCUGGCUCAGAAUCAACGCUGGCGGCGUGCCUAACACAUGCAAGUCGCACGAGAAAGGGUAGCAAUACCUGAGUAAAGUGGCGCACGGGUGAGUAACACGUGAAUUAUCUACCUCCGAGUGGGGAAUAACUGAGAGAAAUCUUAGCUAAUACCGCAUAACACUUACGAGUCAAAGCAGCAAUGCGCUUGGAGAGGAGUUCGCGGCAGAUUAGUUAGUUGGCGGGGUAAUGGCCCACCAAGACGAUGAUCUGUAUCCGGCCUGAGAGGGCGCACGGACACACUGGAACUGAAACACGGUCCAGACUCCUACGGGAGGCAGCAGUGGGGAAUUUUGCGCAAUGGGGGAAACCCUGACGCAGCAACGCCGCGUGGAGGAUGAAAUCCCUUGGGAUGUAAACUCCUUUCGAUAGGGAAGAUAAUGACGGUACCUAUAGAAGAAGCCCCGGCUAACUUCGUGCCAGCAGCCGCGGUAAUACGAGGGGUGCAAGCGUUGUUCGGAUUUAUUGGGCGUAAAGGGUGCGUAGGCGGUUUGGCAAGUCUUGUGUGAAAUCUUUGGGCUCAACUCAAAGUCUGCAUAAGAAACUGCCGGGCUUGAGUAUGGGAGAGGUGAGUGGAAUUCCCGGUGUAGCGCUGAAAUGCGUAGAUAUCGGAAGGAACACCUGUGGCGAAAGCGGCUCACUGGAACAGCUACUGAGGCUGAGGCACGAAAGCCAGGGGAGCAUACAGGCAUAGAUACCCCUGGUAU